rnacentral:ncRNA from 1 species
UCUAGUCCAAAUUUGUGAAAUGACUUGAGAGGUGUAGAAUAAUUCAAAAUAUUUUUCGACACAAAUGAAAUACCACUACUUUUGACGUCAUUUUACUUAUAAUUAUGUGGGGCGGAGAAGGGGAAGUUACCUUUUUUUUUCCUUAAGUCAUGUUUCGAUGGGUCAAUUUGGGCAUAAGACAUUAUCAGGUGGGGA